UACGGAGGGUGCGAGCGUUGUCCGGAAUCAUUGGGCGUAAAGAGCGUGUAGGCGGCCAGGUAGGUCUGCUGUGAAAACUCGGGGCUCAACCCCGAGCGGUCGUGAGAAACUGGCAGGCUAGAGUGCGGGAGAGGAGAGUGGAAUUCCUGGUGUAGCGGUGAAAUGCGCAGAUAUCAGGAAGAACACCCGUGGCGAAGGCGGCUCUCUGGGCCUGUACUGACGCUGAGGAGCGAAAGCGUGGGGAGCGAACAGG
rnacentral:rRNA from 1 species